rnacentral:lncRNA from 1 species
AAAAGACCUAGGUUCAAAAAGCCCAAAAUAAACCCUAAGUCCCAAAACUAGGGUUUCAUAUGGUAAAACCUACCAAAUCAUGGAUCAAAGGGUAGAAUCCAAGUACUAACCUCCCAAGAUGCCUCCAAACAAGCUCCAAAUCUUCUAGGGUUGAAGAUUGGUCCACCACCAAGCUCUACAAGCAAGCUCCAAGCCAAGCAAGGGUGGAAAGGAGAGAAACGGGUUGAGCUCCAAGCUCCCUCAAGCAAACUCCUCUUCUUCUUCUCCUCCUUCUCCUCCUUCUUCUUCUUCUCUCUCUAGAAGGUGUUGGGUGAGGGUGAGAAAUGAGGAGGGAAGAGAGGGAAAUGGCUAAUAAACCCAUCUAAUGUAACAAAAUCCAGUGAGGCCCCUCAAAAAUCCAAUAUUGCAACAGCCCGGUCUGGGCAGUUUUCGCCCAGAGGGACCGGUCUCUCCCCAGCAGGGACCGGUCUCUCGCUGCGAAUCCGAAAAACCAGCGUUCGGGAACCGGUCUCUCCCUGCGCGGGACCGGUCUCUCACUGCGUAGACGCGCUCGGGGACCGGUCUCGCCCGCCAGGGACCGGUUGCCUCAAGGCUGCCGCAGUACUGCUCACUGGGGGACCGGUCUCUCCUUCCAGGGACCGGUCCCCGAGAGUAAAAACUCUCAGGACUUAUCAAGAAUUCCGAUUUUCGAACUUUUUAGGUCGAAAAACAUUCUACAACCCUCCACCAAGUGUGGAAAAGCUCGAAAUACACCCAAACACUCGAACCUCGCAAUUUGC